UACGUAGGGGGCAAGCGUUGUCCGGAUUUAUUGGGCGUAAAGAGCGUGUAGGCGGUUAGGUAGGUCCGUUGUGAAAACUCGAGGCUCAACCUCGAGACGCCGAUGGAAACCAUCUAACUAGAGUCCGGAAGAGGAGAAUGGAAUUCCUGGUGUAGCGGUGAAAUGCGUAGAUAUUGGGAGGAACACCAGUGGCGAAGGCGGCUCACUGGACCGGUUCUGACGCUGAGGCGCGAAAGCGUGGGGAGCAAACGGG
rnacentral:rRNA from 1 species